UUUUUUUGUUAUAUGUAUAGAUU
rnacentral:snRNA from 1 species